rnacentral:rRNA from 2 species
AGAGUUUGAUCAUGGCUCAGAUUGAACGCUGGCGGCAGGCCUAACACAUGCAAGUCGAGCGGUAGCACAGAGAGCUUGCUCUCGGGUGACGAGCGGCGGACGGGUGAGUAAUGUCUGGGAAACUGCCUGAUGGAGGGGGAUAACUACUGGAAACGGUAGCUAAUACCGCAUAACGUCGCAAGACCAAAGUGGGGGACCUUCGGGCCUCAUGCCAUCAGAUGUGCCCAGAUGGGAUUAGCUAGUAGGUGGGGUAACGGCUCACCUAGGCGACGAUCCCUAGCUGGUCUGAGAGGAUGACCAGCCACACUGGAACUGAGACACGGUCCAGACUCCUACGGGAGGCAGCAGUGGGGAAUAUUGCACAAUGGGCGCAAGCCUGAUGCAGCCAUGCCGCGUGUGUGAAGAAGGCCUUCGGGUUGUAAAGCACUUUCAGCGGGGAGGAAGGCGUUAAGGUUAAUAACCUUGUCGAUUGACGUUACCCGCAGAAGAAGCACCGGCUAACUCCGUGCCAGCAGCCGCGGUAAUACGGAGGGUGCAAGCGUUAAUCGGAAUUACUGGGCGUAAAGCGCACGCAGGCGGUCUGUCAAGUCGGAUGUGAAAUCCCCGGGCUCAACCUGGGAACUGCAUUCGAAACUGGCAGGCUAGAGUCUUGUAGAGGGGGGUAGAAUUCCAGGUGUAGCGGUGAAAUGCGUAGAGAUCUGGAGGAAUACCGGUGGCGAAGGCGGCCCCCUGGACAAAGACUGACGCUCAGGUGCGAAAGCGUGGGGAGCAAACAGGAUUAGAUACCCUGGUAGUCCACGCCGUAAACGAUGUCGAUUUGGAGGUUGUGCCCUUGAGGCGUGGCUUCCGGAGCUAACGCGUUAAAUCGACCGCCUGGGGAGUACGGCCGCAAGGUUAAAACUCAAAUGAAUUGACGGGGGCCCGCACAAGCGGUGGAGCAUGUGGUUUAAUUCGAUGCAACGCGAAGAACCUUACCUGGUCUUGACAUCCACAGAACUUUCCAGAGAUGGAUUGGUGCCUUCGGGAACUGUGAGACAGGUGCUGCAUGGCUGUCGUCAGCUCGUGUUGUGAAAUGUUGGGUUAAGUCCCGCAACGAGCGCAACCCUUAUCCUUUGUUGCCAGCGGUCCGGCCGGGAACUCAAAGGAGACUGCCAGUGAUAAACUGGAGGAAGGUGGGGAUGACGUCAAGUCAUCAUGGCCCUUACGACCAGGGCUACACACGUGCUACAAUGGCAUAUACAAAGAGAAGCGACCUCGCGAGAGCAAGCGGACCUCAUAAAGUAUGUCGUAGUCCGGAUUGGAGUCUGCAACUCGACUCCAUGAAGUCGGAAUCGCUAGUAAUCGUAGAUCAGAAUGCUACGGUGAAUACGUUCCCGGGCCUUGUACACACCGCCCGUCACACCAUGGGAGUGGGUUGCAAAAGAAGUAGGUAGCUUAACCUUCGGGAGGGCGCUUACCACUUUGUGAUUCAUGACUGGGGUGAAGUCGUAACAAGGUAACCGUAGGGGAACCUGCGGUUGGAUCACCU